rnacentral:rRNA from 1 species
GGGCUACGGUGAGGUCUCGCGGCAACCUCCCACCCGUGUCUCUCUCUACCUGUUGCUUUGGCGGGCCCACCGGGGCCACCCGGUCGCCGGGGGACGUCCGUCCCCGGGCCCGCGCCCGCCGAAGCGCUCUGUGAACCCUGAUGAAGAUGGGCUGUCUGAGUCGAAUGAAAAUUGUCAAAACUUUCAACAAUGGAUCUCUUGGUUCCGGCAUCGAUGAAGAACGCAGCGAAAUGCGAUAAGUAAUGUGAAUUGCAGAAUUCCGUGAAUCAUCGAAUCUUUGAACGCACAUUGCGCCCCCUGGCAUUCCGGGGGGCAUGCCUGUCCGAGCGUCAUUUCUGCCCUCAAGCCCGGCUUGUGUGUUGGGCGUGGUCCCCCCGGGGACCUGCCCGAAAGGCAGCGGCGACGUCCGUCUGGUCCUCGAGCGUAUGGGGCUUUGUCACUCGCUCGGGACGGAUCGGCGGAGGUUGGUCACCACCACAGUUUUACCACGGUUGACCUCGGAUCAGGUAGGAGUUACCCGCUGAACUUAAGCAUAUCAUAAGCCGGAGGAAUC